CUUUUGGAGAGUUUGAUCCUGGCUCAGGGUGAACGCUGGCGGUAUGCCUAAGACAUGCAAGUCGUACGGACUGUUUCGGCAGUUAGUGGCGGACGGGUGAGUAACACGUAGGUGACCUGCCCCAAAGUCGGGGACAACUAGGAGAAAUCUUAGCUAAUCCCCGAUGUGGACCCACCCCCUGGGGUGUGUCUA
rnacentral:rRNA from 1 species